GACGAACGCUGGCGGCGUGCUUAACACAUGCAAGUCGAACGAUGAAGCUGGAGCUUGCUCCGGUGGAUUAGUGGCGAACGGGUGAGUAACACGUGAGUAAUCUGCCCUUGACUCUGGGAUAACUGCGGGAAACUGUAGCUAAUACCGGAUACGACACCUUCGGGCAUCCGAUGGGUGUGGAAAGAAUUUCGGUCAAGGAUGAACUCGCGGCCUAUCAGCUAGUUGGUGAGGUAAUGGCUCACCAAGGCGACGACGGGUAGCCGGCCUGAGAGGGUGACCGGCCACACUGGGACUGAGACACGGCCCAGACUCCUACGGGAGGCAGCAGUGGGGAAUAUUGCACAAUGGGCGAAAGCCUGAUGCAGCAACGCCGCGUGAGGGAUGAAGGCCUUCGGGUUGUAAACCUCCUUUAGUUGGGAAGAAGCGAAAGUGACGGUACCAACAGAAAAAGCACCGGCUGACUACGUGCCAGCAGCCGCGGUAAAAC
rnacentral:rRNA from 1 species